rnacentral:rRNA from 1 species
GACGAACGCUGGCGGCGUGCCUAAUACAUGCAAGUAGAACGCACAGUUUAUACCGUAGCUUGCUACACCAUAGACUGUGAGUUGCGAACGGGUGAGUAACGCGUAGGUAACCUGCCUGGUAGCGGGGGAUAACUAUUGGAAACGAUAGCUAAUACCGCAUAAUAUUGAUUAUUGCAUGAUAAUUGAUUGAAAGAUGCUAUUGCAUCACUACCAGAUGGACCUGCGUUGUAUUAGCUAGUAGGUGAGGUAACGGCUCACCUAGGCGACGAUACAUAGCCGACCUGAGAGGGUGAUCGGCCACACUGGGACUGAGACACGGCCCAGACUCCUACGGGAGGCAGCAGUAGGGAAUCUUCGGCAAUGGACGAAAGUCUGACCGAGCAACGCCGCGUGAGUGAAGAAGGUUGUCGGAUCGUAAAGCUCUGUUGUAAGAGAAGAACGGGUGUGAGAGUGGAAAGUUCGCACUGUGACGGUAUCUUACCAGAAAGGGACGGCUAACUACGUG